rnacentral:rRNA from 1 species
UAGGGAAUCUUCGGCAAUGGACGAAAGUCUGACCGAGCAACGCCGCGUGAGUGAAGAAGGUUUUCGGAUCGUAAAACUCUGUUGUUAGAGAAGAACAAGGACGUUAGUAACUGAACGUCCCCUGACGGUAUCUAACCAGAAAGCCACGGCUAACUACGUGCCAGCAGCCGCGGUAAUACGUAGGUGGCAAGCGUUGUCCGGAUUUAUUGGGCGUAAAGCGAGCGCAGGCGGUUUCUUAAGUCUGAUGUGAAAGCCCCCGGCUCAACCGGGGAGGGUGAUUGGAAACUGGGAGACUUGAGUGGAGAAGAGGGGAGUGGAAUUCCAUGUGUAGCGGUGAAAUGCGUAGAUAUAUGGGGGAACACCAGUGGCGAAGGCGGCUCUCGGGUCUGUAACUGACGCUGAGGCGAGAAAGCGUGGGGAGCAAACAGG